rnacentral:tRNA from 1 species
GCCGGGGUGGCGGAAUGGCAGACGCAGAGGACUUAAAAUCCUUGGGGCCCACAAGCCCAUGCGGGUUCGAGUCCCGCCCCCGGCA